CUUUCUCCUGCUCUAGGCCCAGCGCCUUGGACGUGCACAGUAGAUCCCUCCCGGCUUCCCGGCUUCCCGUCUCGUCACCCUCUGCUCAGAACCUGAGGACGCAGCCAUGGAGCGGUCGGCCUUCAUGGAGCUGGAUGCUGGGAGCAGGCUGGUGAUGCAUCUCCGCGAGUGGCCAGCCCUGCUGGUCAGCAGCACGGGCUGGACAGAUGCUUUUCUCAAACUUUCCUGAUCCUGCAGGCAAGCUAAACCAGUUUUGGAAGAACCUGCGGGAGUCGCAGCAGCUCCGAUGGGAUGAGAGCUGGGUGCAGACUGUGCUCCCUUUGGUUAUGGACAUACAACUCCUGGGCCAGAGGCUAAAACCCCGGGACCCCUGCUGUCCUUCCCGCAGCUUCUUCUCGGAGUCUCAGGGCAAACCCUUUUGAGCAGCGCCUCCCAGUGGCCAGAAGCUGAAAUGACGGCAGUGGUGCCGCCUGGUGAAUGAAUUGGUUCUGUGACCCGG
rnacentral:lncRNA from 1 species